rnacentral:misc_RNA from 1 species
GAUGAAGAACGUAGCGAAAUGCGAUAAGUAAUGUGAAUUGCAGAAUUCAGUGAAUCAUCGAAUCUUUGAACGCACAUUGCGCCCGUCAGUAUUCUGGCGGGCAUGUCUGUUCGAGCGUCAUUACGCCCCUCAAGUCCCCUGUGGACUUGGUGUUGGGGAUCGGCGAGGCUGGUUUUCCAGCACAGCCGUCCCUUAAAUUAAUUGGCGGUCUCGCCGUGGCCCUCCUCUGCGCAGUAGUAAAACACUCGCAACAGGAGCCCGGCGCGGUCCACUGCCGUAAAACCCCCCAACUUUUUAUAGUUGACCUCGAAUCAGGUAGGACUACCCGCUGAACUUAAGCAUAUCAUAAGCGGAGGA